UUUAAAAAAGCGAACAAAAAUAAACAAAACAAAAAAAAUACGGUUUUAGAUUUUAGUGAGUUGUUUUUAAAUACCUAAUUAAAAUCUUAUGACGGAUACGUUUGGCUUUUGUAUUUUUAGUAAAUUCUUAAUAUCCUGUUCAAAUUCGCAGAUAAAUUAUAAAUAAAGGUUUUUAAAAAAAGGUAAAAAAAAAAAAGGUUCUAUUAGCGACAAGCGGCUGUUAUCACCGAUAGAAUGAUUGAUAACAGCCUGCUAGUAGGCAGAGCAAGGACCAACUGAGGCGAUUCAAUGGGGCUGAUAACCACUGAUAAUCACCAUUCUAUGGGAUGAUAACAUCCGAAGCGGGAGUUUCAAGGCUUUCC